rnacentral:rRNA from 1 species
GACGAACGCUGGCGGCGUGCUUAACACAUGCAAGUCGAACGGAAAGGCCCUGCUUUUGUGGGGUGCUCGAGUGGCGAACGGGUGAGUAACACGUGAGUAACCUGCCCUUGACUUUGGGAUAACUUCAGGAAACUGGGGCUAAUACCGGAUAGGAGAUCCUGCUGCAUGGUGGGGGUUGGAAAGUUUCGGCGGUUGGGGAUGGACUGGCGGCUUAUCAGCUUGUUGGUGGGGUAGUGGCUUACCAAGGGUUUGACGGGUAGCCGGCCUGGGAGGGUGACCGGCCACCUUGGGACUGCGGUACGGACCAGACUGCAACGGGGGGCAGUAGGCGGGAACAUUGCCCAACGGGCGCAAGCCGGAGGCAGCAACGCCGCGUGUGUGAUGACGGCCUGCGGGUUGAAAACCGCUUUCGCCUGUGACGAAGCGGGAGUGACGGUAAUGGGUAAAGAAGCACCGGCUAACUACGUG